UACGUAGGUGGCAAGCGUUGUCCGGAUUUACUGGGCGUAAAGAGCGCGCAGGCGGUCGUUCAAGUCGCGUGUGAAAGCCCCCGGCUCAACUGGGGAGGGUCACGCGAUACUGAUCGACUCGAAGGCAGGAGAGGGUAGUGGAAUUCCCGGUGUAGUGGUGAAAUGCGUAGAUAUCGGGAGGAACACCAGUGGCGAAGGCGACUACCUGGCCUGUUUCUUGACGCUGAGGCGCGGAAAGCUAGGGGAGCAAACGGG
rnacentral:rRNA from 1 species